UCUCCGUUGGUGAACCAGCGGAGGGAUCAUUAUCGAGUUUAUAACUCCCAAACCCUAUGUGAACUUACCACUUGUUGCUUCUGCGCGCGCUUCGGUGCCGCCGAGGACACUUAAACUCUUUGUUUUUAUAAGCAUUUCUGAGUGGCCGAAAGGCAAAAUACAAAUGAAUCAAAACUUUCAACAACGGAUCUCUUGGUUCUG
rnacentral:misc_RNA from 1 species